CUUGUACUCCCUCCGUCCGGAAAUACUUGUCCGAGGAAUGGAUGAAUCUAGAUGUAUUUUAGUUCUAAAUACAUCCAUUUGUAUCCAUUUCUCCGACAAGUAUUUUCGGACGGAGGGAGUAGAUG
rnacentral:pre_miRNA from 1 species